rfam:Penicillium steckii strain IBT 24891 PENSTE_contig017, whole genome shotgun sequence.
ACAUACGACCAUAGGGUGUGGAGAACAGGGCUUCCCGUCCGCUCAGCCGUACUUAAGCCACACGCCGGCAGGUUAGUAGUAUGGUGGGUGACCACAUGCGAAUCCCUGCUGUUGUAUGUU